CCAGCUAUCGCUUGGGCAGCACUUAAAAACGAGGGAAGUUCGAGAAGCUGAGCAUUGGAGAUAAGUAAACAAGCCAGAGAGACAUGAAGAACGUUUCAAAGAGAAGAAAAACAACAAACAAAGCACUGGCUCAUGUUGAAAGGCGAGGCGGGCUGGCGGCUCCGCACGCGGAGGAGCUCACUCAGGAGGGCUGACAAAAACGUGGGCAAUGGGCGUUGGCUUUGGGCAGCGCUCACCCCGAGUGGCCCACAAGACACGAGGCGGGGUUCAGAGCUGCAACUGCCCCACCCCGGGCCCGUGAAUGACCCUAAGCACCUCAUUCAUCACACAGGGACAGCUGCCGGACUGGGGACCAAGACAGAGCUGCCCGCUGCUUCCAGGUUCUGGACGACAGCUGAGACCAGCAGAGCCUCCGGGAGAUGCUGAUGCUGAUGCAGAAGAUGAAGAUUCUGUUAAUGAAGUAGCAGUAGAAGACAUCCGUCCAAGGCCACAGGGAUCCUCACCAGUUUAUGAAUAUUCCGUAGAAGAAGAAUAUUUAAAGGUAAGACACUGAGGUUUUAUGCAGACAUGGCUUUAUGGGAUUGAUUCAAAGGGCUUUAGCUCCUAUAGCUAGCCAAGACUCCUAUGUCAUAUACAUGAUGUAGUUGCAGCUGUAUUGUCUUCCUGCCCUCACCAAUAUCCAGACCAUGUUCAUUGAUUGUAUUGUAUUGGAUUUGUUAUUGGUCAUGUUUAUGUUUCUUGGCAAAAAAUACAAUUGACUACAUUCCGUAAGGAACUUGGGUCACAAAGCAUCAAGAAAUGGCAAUGUUUUCCACAAUUAAGAUAUUUUACUGGCUUGAAUCUAGUACAGAUUUCAAAAUCAC
rnacentral:lncRNA from 1 species